rnacentral:rRNA from 1 species
AAAAGCUCGUAGUUGGAUCUGGGUUGCAUGGCUACAUGCCGUCGUUUGUGGGUUUGGUCUGGGAAACCGGAUCAAGCUUGCGAGUCGGUCUAGUGGUUGUGCUUCCUUUCUGCUGUGUCUGUUUACAGGUGUCAGCGUGACUGGUGGGCUUGCCUGUCGGUCUGUUGGCAUGCUUCUUGAUGCCUUUAAACGGGUGUCGGAGGCGGACAGCACGUUUACUUUGAACAAAUUUGAGUGCUCAAAGCAGGCCUUUGUGCCUGAAAAUUCUUGCAUGGAAUAAUGGAAUAGGACUUCGGUUCUAUUUUGUUGGUUUUCGGAUCCGAAGUAAUGGUUAAGAGGGACAGACGGGGGCAUUUGUAUGGCGGUGUUAGAGGUGAAAUUCUUGGAUCGCCGCCAGACAAACUACAGCGAAAGCAUUUGCCAAGGAUGUUUUCAUUGAUCUUGAGCGAAAGUCAGAGGUUCGAAGACGAUCAGAUACCGUCCUAGUUCUGACCAUAAACGAUGCCAACUGACGAUCCGUGGUGGUUCUUUAUGUGUCCCC